rnacentral:rRNA from 1 species
UACGUAGGGGGCAAGCGUUGUCCGGAAUCAUUGGGCGUAAAGAGCGUGUAGGCGGCCAGAUAAGUCCGCUGUGAAAUCUCGAGGCUCAACUUCGAGCUGUCGGUGGAAACUGUCUGGCUAGAGUCCGGAAGAGGAGAAUGGAAUUCCUGGUGUAGCGGUGAAAUGCGCAGAUAUCAGGAAGAACACCCGUGGCGAAAGCGGCGCGCCUGGACCACUACUGACGCUGAGGAACGAAAGCUAGGGGAGCAAACAGG